rnacentral:tRNA from 1 species
GCGGGAGUAGCUCAGGUUGGUAGAGCAUUGGCCUUCCAAGCCAAUUGUCGCGGGUUCGAACCCCGUCUCCCGCU